AAGCAGGGGAAGCGUGUCGAGGAAGCGGCAAUGAUCUCGUAAACCAUAUGUCGCAAAAAAUAAUCGCCAAUACCAAGCGCGAUUCCUUCGCCCUCGCUGCCUAAGUAGCGACUUGCGAAGUGUCAGCCCGGGGCUGUUCCCGACCCGGAUCCUGGCAUCAGCUAGGGAACUAAACCUUGAUCCCGGUCACGGGGUGAAGAGGGAAAUCUAACAGUGACUGGGCCCGUCGGCGACUUGUUCGCGUGAUCGCCGGGGCCGAGAAAAUCACAGCGGACUGCACACGGAGAAGCCCUGUUUCUGCACCGUUGGACGCGGGUUCGAUUCCCGCCAUCUCCACGA
rnacentral:tmRNA from 1 species